rnacentral:rRNA from 1 species
UGAGUAACACGUGAGCAAUCUGCCCCUGACUCUGGGAUAAGCGCUGGAAACGGCGUCUAAUACUGGAUACGAACAGCGACCGCAUGGUCAGUUGUUGGAAAGAAUUUCGGUCAGGGAUGAGCUCGCGGCCUAUCAGCUUGUUGGUGAGGUAAUGGCUCACCAAGGCGUCGACGGGUAGCCGGCCUGAGAGGGUGACCGGCCACACUGGGACUGAGACACGGCCCAGACUCCUACGGGAGGCAGCAGUGGGGAAUAUUGCACAAUGGGCGCAAGCCUGAUGCAGCAACGCCGCGUGAGGGACGACGGCCUUCGGGUUGUAAACCUCUUUUAGCAGGGAAGAAGCGAAAGUGACGGUACCUGCAGAAAAAGCGCCGGCUAACUACGUGCCAGCAGCCGCGGUAAUACGUAGGGCGCAAGCGUUAUCCGGAAUUAUUGGGCGUAAAGAGCUCGUAGGCGGUUUGUCGCGUCUGCUGUGAAAUCCCGAGGCUCAACCUCGGGUCUGCAGUGGGUACGGGCAGACUAGAGUGCGGUAGGGGAGAUUGGAAUUCCUGGUGUAGCGGUGGAAUGCGCAGAUAUCAGGAGGAACACCGAUGGCGAAGGCAGAUCUCUGGGCCGUAACUGACGCUGAGGAGCGAAAGGGUGGGGAGCAAACAGGCUUAGAUACCCUGGUAGUCCACCCCGUAAACGUUGGGAACUAGUUGUGGGGUCCAUUCCA